UACGUAGGGUGCAAGCGUUGUCCGGAAUUAUUGGGCGUAAAGAGCUCGUAGGCGGUCUGUCGCGUCGGCUGUGAAAUCCCGGGGCUUAACCCCGGGCGUGCAGUGGAUACGGGCAGGCUGGAGGCAGGCAGGGGAGAACGGAAUUCCCGGUGUAGCGGUGAAAUGCGCAGAUAUCGGGAGGAACACCUGUGGCGAAAAGCGGCUCACUGGACCUAACUGACGCUGAUGCACGAAAAGCUGGGGGGAGCAAACAGG
rnacentral:rRNA from 1 species